AAUAGAUAUUUUAUGGCUAACUUUCAAUCAACAUACUUCUAUUCUUUUACAUUGUAUCCUGAUAAAUUCUUGCUCCGAUGUCAUGAUAUUUAGCAUUCUUCGGUAUAGUCAAAUGGUAGCUUUCUUGCAGUUUGUAACUCUCGUUUGUUGAUUGAAGCAGGACCUUUCCCCAUGAUUGAUGAAAAUAUAUAACUAAUCCUCUUUUUGGUAAAAUCAUUCCAAUCUUUCCAUUUAAUUCCUGAUCAAACAAGUUUAUGACAUAAAUUGUGCAGCUGAGGACAUAGCAAUGGGAGUUUGUAUUAUCCUGACUAUGAUAUUCUAAGCCCCUUAAUCUUUCAUGAAAUCUUGACAAUCUAAUGGUGAAUAAAAAGAUCCCAUUCAGGUGAAUAAAAAGAUUUCAUUCUUGUGAUGAAAAUGUGUGCCAUUCCUAGCCAGCCUCAACCUGGGUCACUUCUCCAUUCACCAGUUAUCCUUAGAAAUAGCGAUGACCUUGAUAAGAUCAAUCAUAUUUUGGUGAACUAUUUUCUUGGAUAUUCCUACUGACAUGUUUUUAUCAUAUUCUGGAUUUAGUUAGCAUUAAGUUACACAAGCUUUACCAGUGCAUUUCCUUGCUACUGCCUAAUUUCUUAUAUGCCUUCUAAUGUUAGGUGUUCCAACUUUAGUACCUUGCAAUGUCCAGGAGCCCAUUUAUACAUUUAGCCUGAUAACAGUUAUUUUUCUCAAGGCAGUUAUUUCUCAUUCUAUUCAUCUAUCUUUGUUUAGGUCAUCGCCACUUAGUACCAUUUUGAAAUUUUGGA
rnacentral:lncRNA from 1 species